GAUGCAUUUAUUAGAUUAAGCCAAUCAAUGUAUGCAACGGUUUAAUCGCUGUUGUAACGUUGCUGUGGUGAGUCUGGAUAACUGUGCCGAUCGUAUGGCCUAGAGCCGGCGACAUUUCGAUUAAAUUUCUGCCCUAUCAACUUGUUGGUAAGGUAGUUGCUUACCAAGGUGAUAACGGGUAACGGGGAAUCAGGGUUCGAUUCCGGAGAGGGAGCCUGAGAAAUGGCUACCACAUCCAAGGACGGCAGCAGGCGCGCAAAUUACCCAAUCCAGACACUGGGAGGUGGUGACGAGAAAUACCAGGUCGUUCCCAAAAGGAUUCGACACUGGAAUGAGUUCAAUUUAAGAAUUUGAACGAGUAGCAACUGGAGGGCAAGUCUGGUGCCAGCAGCCGCGGUAAUUCCAGCUCCAGUAGUGUAUCCAAACGUUGCUGCGGUUAAAACGCUCGUAGUUGGACAAUAGAGUAACUUAGUGCGGGCGGGAAAUGUAAUUGCUCCAUGUAACUGACUAUUAUAAAUAGUAUAAAGUGGAAAUAAUGAGGUGGGGAGAAUGAGAUGGCAGAGAAUAACAUUGAGUUUAUUGAUUGUGUUAAAGCAUGAAAGUAAAUUUAAUGCUUAUUUUUUGUUAUUUUAUUUUCCUCAUUUGGUUGUUUCAUUUCUUUUGCUUAUUUUAUAAUAGUAUAUAGUGCAUGGUAGUAGCGUUUGUCGACCAUGCAGCUAAGUUGCUUGUAAUAUUUCGUGAGAAUAGUACAUGAUCUUAAUUGUAUUGUGUACCAUGUCUUACGUAGUGUGCCUUGAAUAAAUCAGAGUGCUCAAAGCAAGCUAAUUGCUUGAAUGUUAAUAGCAUGGAACGAAUGGUUAGUGGAAGUGUAUUAAUUUAAAAUAAGUAUGUUAUGUACUUAUAUUUAAAUUAGUGCACAGCACCAACCACGAAGCGGAACAUUGGUUACCGACUUCGGGUGAGGAUUAAGAGGGGCAUUUGGGGGCAUUAGUAUU
rnacentral:rRNA from 1 species